UGUGACAGAAUUUCUCCGUGUAGUUCUGAAUUUUCGGGCGACAAUCGGGAAGCACACAUAGUGCAGUGCAACAACAGGCGCGGAAAAUUUAAGGCAGUCACUUGCAGCUACUAUUGAGUAAGGAAGGACUAGAGUCAACAUCCAGUUUCAAAGGAACCAUCGUAAAGAGGAUAACUUGGAGUACAUUGGCGCUCAUCGUUUUGUGCCUUCUGUCAGAGAAGAAGAACCAGAAACAAUGUCACAAGAAAUGAAAAUCCGG